rnacentral:rRNA from 1 species
UGAGGAAUCUUCCACAAUGGGCGAAAGCCUGAUGGAGCAACGCCGCGUGCAGGAUGAAGGCCUUCGGGUCGUAAACUGCUUUUAUGGGUGAAUAAUAUGAAUGUAACCCUUGAAUAAGCACCGGCUAACUACGUGCCAGCAGCCGCGGUCAUACGUAGGGUGCAAGCAUUAUCCGGAGUGACUGGGCGUAAAGAGUUGCGUAGGUGGUUUGUUUAGUGAAUAGUGAAAUCUGGUGGCUCAACCAUACAGACUAUUAUUCAAACUGACAAACUCGAGAGUAGCAGAGGUAACUGGAAUUUCUAGUGUAGGAGUGAAAUCCGUAGAUAUCUGGAGGAACACCAGUGGGGAAGGCGGCCACCUGGCCGGCAACUGACGCUGAGGUGCGAAAGCGUGGGGAGCAAACA